rnacentral:lncRNA from 1 species
AAUGCCACCAUGAACUGCAGUUACAAAACUAGUAUAAACAAUUUACAGUGGUAUAGACAAAAUUCAGGUAGAGGCCUUGUCCACCUAAUUUUAAUACGUUCAAAUGAAAGAGAGAAACACAGUGGAAGAUUAAGAGUCACGCUUGACACUUCCAAGAAAAGCAGUUCCUUGUUGAUCACGGCUUCCCGGGCAGCAGACACUGCUUCUUACUUCUGUGCUACGGACGCACAAAGCCAAGGAAAUCUCAUCUUUGGAAAAGGCACUAAACUCUCUGUUAAACCAAGUAAGUGUUGGGGAUUCAAA